UACGUAGGGGGCAAGCGUUGUCCGGAGUUACUGGGCGUAAAGCGCACGCAGGCGGUCUCUUAAGUUUGGAGUGACAGUUGGUGGCUUAACUGCCAAAGUGCUUCGAAAACUGAGAGACUUGAGGGCUUCAGAGGGACACGGAAUUCCGGGUGGAGUGGUGAAAUGCGUAGAGAUCCGGAGGAACACCAAAGGCGAAGGCAGUGUCCUGGGGAGUACCUGACGCUCAGGUGCGAAAGCCAGGGAGCGAACGGG
rnacentral:rRNA from 1 species